AGACACACAGAGGAGAGAUCCACAGGGGCAGGCCAUGUGAAGACACAGGCAGAAAGUGAAGCUGUGACAGCACAAGCCCAGAAAUGCUAACAGCCACCAGAAGCUAGAAGAGACAAGGAACAAAAAUCUCCUCUGGAGGAAGCACAGCCUUACUGCCGCCUUGAUUUUGGACUUCUGGCCUACAGAACUGUUUGGUCCUGGCUUUCAGAAAAUGGUUGCCUUGACAAAACAGCGGAAACCAGUUUCUGUUCAUCUUUGAGAAUACGACAGAGUCACAUCUGAGGUGAUGGUACAGCUCUCCAGCUAAUCGAAUUCAGACCAUGAUCAGAAAUUAACCUUGAAAGCCCUUGGUUGGAGAGACGUUCCACUGGAGGCGGUCGUGAUUUCUCGCUGUCAGCCCAACACAGCUGGGUUUCUCCGGCUUUGGAGAAGGUUGUUGAUUGCUCAGCUGAGCACCAGAUGAAGCUGGCCAAAUGUUAGAGGCUGUCUUACACGAAAACAGCAGAUAUUUAUGUGCUGGACUCAUGCUGAGGGCUGAGAGGUGCUCGGGGCUGAUACUGCAUGCACCCCAGAGAGGAAAGGCAGGUGAACCCUUACCUUAGCACUUACAUGUAUUUUAGUCUAUCUUUUCUCUCGUUACCAUGCCAUUGUUAAUAUCACUAUUCUGCAGAGUCCCAUAGUUGAAUGAAUGUACAGAACAUAACUGCAUACAUUGUAGGACCAGACUGUAGCAUAAAUUUUUCUUAAAAGUUCUUGCCUUUCACUAUGAGAGUUAUCUUUUCUCAGAAUGAAAUUUGGCCAGCUCAGCUGUCCGUGUGGCUCUGCUGACGGAUCACAGUCUUCCAGCCAAGUUGGGUCUUGUCCACAGUGAUCUGGUAGCCAAUUUUCUGAAUAAAUCACAAAAUCACUCCAGAGUUGGUAUAUUUACCCCAAAACUCCUCUUCUAUUGCUGUGCACACAGAAGAGUUGUGAAUGUACUUUGCAUUUUACAGUAUUUUAUACAGCGUGGCAUUUACCAAAGCGUUGGAAGAGGGGAGAUUGCAGAGCAAAGGGGCAGUUUAGGGCCUCUAAGAGA
ensembl:lncRNA